AGGAGACCAGCAGGAGAACAAGAGGAGACCAGGAGGAGACCAGGAGGAGACCACAAACAAAAGAAAACAACCGUGAUGAACCGGAACCGGAAACACUGAAAGCAGGAAGAUCGAGUCAGUGGUCGAGUGACGUAGAGAAUCAAUGAGAAGAGGGAGUGACUUUUUCACAGCGACCAGCUGACUGGACGGAGACAACAGAAACAUGCAGUGAAGUAUCAGGUGUCCCUACAGCUGAUUAAAGGAGCAUUCUGAUGAUUUAAGAUCUUUUAAUCUGCUGCUCUCCUCCUCCUGAUGCACGUGAGUCAUUUGUCACUCUGCUCUGUGGGCGUUUGAAAAAACUGACUCGCUGCUGAAGCCAAAAGAAAGUGAGAAAGAAGAUCCAGUCCAUCCAAAUGAAAACCCUGAACUGGGAGGCAGGCAGUCAGUGACUGAAGACUGGGGAGACCUGUGUAACCAGUCCCUCUACCUGUGUAACCAGUCCCUUUACCUGUGUAACCAGUCCCUUUACCUGUGUAACCAGUCCCUUUACCUGUGUAACCUGUGUGACUGUACCCCUGUUAAUCACCUGUUUAAAGGUCUACCUCGGUGAGAAGCUGAGCCAAGUGUUUGAUGACCUCCAAUGAGAGAAUGUUAAACUUUUCAAAAACUUUUUUAAACCAACUGUCCCAUUCAUGUCUUUCACAUAAAUCUAAUACAGUGAUUAUUAAUCAUAAAUAAUAUGGAUAUAUCACAUUCAUUAGCAGUAAUUAAGUGUGUAAACAGCUCUGAACAAAGACACGUCUCAAUUCAAGGUUUGUGAUUCACCUGCCCAGGUGUAGCCUGCCCGUUCCAGAGUGCAUGGUGGGAUAGACUGCAGUGAACAAAGACAUGUUGGAUGGUUGGACAA